UACGUAGGGGGCAAGCGUUGUCCGGAUUUAUUGGGCGUAAAGAGCGUGUAGGCGGCUUUACAGGUCCGUUGUGAAAACUCGAGGCUCAACCUCGAGACGCCGGUGGAAACCGUAAAGCUAGAGUCCGGAAGAGGAGAGUGGAAUUCCUGGUGUAGCGGUGAAAUGCGCAGAUAUCAGGAGGAACACCCGUGGCGAAAGCGGCUCUCUGGGACGGUACUGACGCUGAGACGCGAAAGCGUGGGGAGCAACAGG
rnacentral:rRNA from 1 species